rnacentral:rRNA from 1 species
AGUGGGGAAUAUUGCACAAUGGAGGAAACUCUGAUGCAGCAACGCCGCGUGGAGGAUGACGCAUUUCGGUGUGUAAACUCCUUUUAUAUGGGAAGAUAAUGACGGUACCAUAUGAAUAAGCACCGGCUAACUCCGUGCCAGCAGCCGCGGUAAUACGGAGGGUGCAAGCGUUACUCGGAAUCACUGGGCGUAAAGCGCGCGCAGGCGGCCUUUUAAGUUGGAUGUGAAAGCCUAUGGCUCAACCAUAGAACUGCAUCCAAAACUAUUAGGCUAGAGUCUGGGAGGGGAAGAUGGAAUUAGUUGUGUAGGGGUAAAAUCCGUAGAGAUAACUAGGAAUACCAAAAGCGAAGGCGAUCUUCUGGAACAGUACUGACGCUGAGGCGCGAAAGCGUGGGGAGCAAACAGGAUUAGAUACCCUGGUAGUCCACGCCCUAAACGAUGAAUGUUAGUCGUCGGAGGCCUAGUGUCUUCGGUGAUGCAGCUAACGCAUUAAACAUUCCGCCUGGGGAGUACGGUCGCAAGAUUAAAACUCAAAGGAAUAGACGGGGACCCGCACAAGUGGUGGAGCAUGUGGUUUAAUUCGAAGAUACGCGAAGAACCUUACCUGGCCUUGACAUUGAAAGAAUCCGGUAGAGAUACUGGAGUGCCUCUUUGAGGAGCUUGAAAACAGGUGCUGCACGGCUGUCGUCAGCUCGUGUCGUGAGAUGUUGGGUUAAGUCCCGCAACGAGCGCAACCCUCGUCACUAGUUACUAACGGUUCGGCCGAGGACUCUAGUGAGACUGCCUUCGCAAGGAGGAGGAAGGUGAGGACGACGUCAAGU